rnacentral:rRNA from 1 species
GAUGAACGCUGGCGGCGUGCCUAAUACAUGCAAGUAGAACGCUGAAGCUUGGUGCUUGCACCGAGCGGAAGAGUUGCGAACGGGUGAGUAACGCGUAGGUAACCUGCCUCUUAGCGGGGGAUAACUAUUGGAAACGAUAGCUAAUACCGCAUAAAAGUCGGCGUUGCAUGAUGUUGACUUGAAAGGUGCAACUGCAUCACUAAGAGAUGGACCUGCGUUGUAUUAGCUAGUUGGUGAGGUAACGGCUCACCAAGGCGACGAUACAUAGCCGACCUGAGAGGGUGAUCGGCCACACUGGGACUGAGACACGGCCCAGACUCCUACGGGAGGCAGCAGUAGGGAAUCUUCGGCAAUGGACGGAAGUCUGACCGAGCAACGCCGCGUGAGUGAAGAAGGUUUUCGGAUCGUAAAGCUCUGUUGUAAGAGAAGAACGAGUGUGAGAGUGGAAAGUUCACACUGUGACGGUAACUUACCAGAAAGGGACGGCUAACUACGUGCCAGCAGCCGCGGUAAUACGUAGGUCCCGAGCGUUAUCCGGAUUUAUUGGGCGUAAAGCGAGCGCAGGCGGUUAGAUAAGUCUGAAGUUAAAAGGCUGUGGCUUAACCAUAGUACGCUUUUGGAAACUGUUUAAUUUGAGUGCAGAAAGGGGAGAGUGGAAUUCCAUGUGUAGCGGUGAAAUACCUUAAAUAUCUGGGAGGGAACACCGGCGGCGAAA